GCCAGGCGUGGUGGCGUGCGCCUAUAAUUCCAGCUACUUGGGAGGCUGAGGUAGAAGAAUCGCUUGAACCUAGGAGGCAGAGGCUGCAGUGAGCUGAGAUUGUGCCACUGCACUCCCGCCUGGGUGACAGAGUGAGACUCCAUCUCAA
ensembl:misc_RNA Metazoa_SRP Metazoan signal recognition particle RNA